GGUAAAAUGGCUGAGUUAAAGGCGGUAGAUUGUAAAUUUAUUAACGAAUUAUUUCUUUUAC
rnacentral:tRNA from 1 species